rnacentral:rRNA from 1 species
UACGAAGGGGGCUAGCGUUGCUCGGAAUGACUGGGCGUAAAGGGCGCGUAGGCGGUUUGUACAGUCAGGUGUGAAAUCCCCGGGCUCAACCUGGGAACUGCAUUUGGGACUGCAAGGCUAGAGUACGGCAGAGGGGGGUAGAAUUCCUGGUGUAGCAGUGAAAUGCGUAGAUAUCGGGAGGAACACCUGUGGCGAAAGCGGCUCACUGGACCAUAACUGACGCUGAUGCACGAAAGCUGGGGGAGCAAACAGG